rnacentral:rRNA from 1 species
UACAGAGACUGCAAGCGUUAUUCGGAUUCACUGGGCGUAAAGGGUGCGCAGGCGGCCGUGUGUGUGAGGCGUGAAAGCCCGGGGCUCAACCCCGGAAUUGCACCUCAAACUACAUGGCUAGAGCAUUGGAGAGGGUAGCGGAAUUCACGGUGUAGCAGUGAAAUGCGUAGAUAUCGUGAGGAACACCAGAGGCGAAGGCGGCUACCUGGACAAUUGCUGACGCUCAGGCACGAAAGCGUGGGGAGCGAACAGG